rnacentral:rRNA from 1 species
GAUGAACGCUGGCGGCGUGCCUAAUACAUGCAAGUCGAGCGAACAGACGAGGAGCUUGCUCCUCUGACGUUAGCGGCGGACGGGUGAGUAACACGUGGAUAACCUACCUAUAAGACUGGGAUAACUUCGGGAAACCGGAGCUAAUACCGGAUAAUAUAUUGAACCGCAUGGUUCAAUAGUGAAAGACGGUUUUGCUGUCACUUAUAGAUGGAUCCGCGCCGCAUUAGGUAGUUGGUAAGGUAACGGCUUACCAAGGCAACGAUGCGUAGCCGACCUGAGAGGGUGGUCGGCCACACUGGAACUGAGACACGGUACAGACUCCUACGGGAGGCAGCAGUAGGGAAUCUUCCGCAAUGGGCGAAAGCCUGACGGAGCAACGCCGCGUGAGUGAUAGAGGUCUUCGGAUCGUAAAACUCUGUUAUUAGGGAAGAACAAAUGUGUAAGUAACUAUGCACGUCUUGACGGUACCUAAUCAGAAAGCCACGGCUAACUACGUG